rnacentral:rRNA from 1 species
CCUACGGGUGGCAGCAGUAGGGAAUAUUGCUCAAUGGGGGAAACCCUGAAGCAGCAACGCCGCGUGGCGGAUGAAGGUUUUCGGAUUGUAAACUCCUUUUGUAAGAGAAGAUAAUGAAGGGAUCUAACGAAUAAGCACCUGCUAACUCCGUGCCAGGAGCCGCGGUAAUACGGAGGGCGCAAGCGUUACGCGGAAUGAAUGGGCGUAUCGAGCGCGUAGGCGGGAUAGCAAGUCAGAUGUGAAAUCCUAUGGCUUAACCAUAGAACUGCAUUUGAAACUGUUAUUCUAGAGUAUGGGAGAGGUAGGUGGAAUUCUUGGUGUAGGGGUAAAAUCCGUAGAGAUCAAGAGGAAUACUCAUUGCGAAGGCGACCUGCUAGAACAUAACUGACGCUGAUGCGCGAAAGCGUGGGGAGCAAACAGGAUGAGAUACCCCUGUAGUC